AAGUGGAGCAAUCCAUGAGUAAAGUGGCGACCGGGUGAGUAACACGUGACUAACCUACCCUGAAGUGGGGAAUAACCUCGGGAAACCGGGGCUAAUACCGCAUAACAUCGCGAGCUGUAAACGCUUGUGAUCAAAGGAGCAAUUCGCUUUAGGAGGGGGUCGCGGCUGAUUAGUUAGUUGGUGAGGUAACGGCUCACCAAGACAAAGAUCAGUAUCCGGCCUGAGAGGGCGCACGGACACACUGGAACUGAAACACGGUCCAGACUCCUACGGGAGGCAGCAGUGGGGAAUUUUGCGCAAUGGGGGAAACCCUGACGCAGCAACGCCGCGUGGAGGAUGAAGUCCCUUGGG
rnacentral:rRNA from 1 species